CCACAAUAGAAUAUCAAGAUAUGCAUUCAAAGGCGUGGGAGGUNUUCCCAUAAGGUAAACUGGCAGGCGGCCGCGCUNGAGAUUAUCAACUUUCGAAGGUAGGAAAGAGGCCUACCNUGGUGGUAACGGGUAACGGGAUAUUAGGGCNCGACACCCGGAGAGGGAGCCUGANAAACGGCUACCACAUCCAAGGAUGGCAGCAGGCGCGCAAAAUACCCAAUCCCGACACGGGGAGGUAGUGACAAUAAAUAACAAUACGGGGGUCUUUCGGAUUUCGUAAUUGGAAUGAGUACAAUUUAAAUCUCUUAACGAGGAAACAAUGGAGGGCAAGUCUGGUGCCAGCAGCCGCGGUAAUUCCAGCUCCAAUAGCGUAUAUUAAAGUUGCUGCAGUUAAAAAGCUCGUAGUUGAAUUUCGGGACCAAUAUGUCGGUCGUGCCUCGGUACGUACUGGCAUCGUUGGUUUCUCCCUUCUGACGAACCAUGAUGUCAUUUAUUUGGUGUCGUGGGGAAUCAGGACUGUUACUUUGAAAAAAUUAGAGUGUUUAAAGCAGGCUCACGCUUGAAUACAUUAGCAUGGAAUAAUGAAAUAGGACGUUUGAUUCUAUCUUGUUGGUUUCUAGGAUCGACGUAAUGAUUAAUAGGGAUAGUUGGGGGCAUUAGUAUUCAAUUGUCAGAGGUGAAAUUCUUGGAUUUAUUGAAGACUAAAUACUGCGAAAGCAUUUGCCAAGGAUGUUUUCAUUAAUCAAGAACGAAAGUUAGGGGAUCGAAGACGAUCAGAUACCGUCGUAGUCUUAACCAUAAACUAUGCCGACUAGGGAUCGGAUGAUGUUAAUUUUUUACUGANUNAUUCGGCGCCUUACGGGAAACCAAAGUGUUUGGGUUC
rnacentral:rRNA from 1 species